UUGGCUACACAAAUUGUGGACUUCAAGGCUACGCUUGUGCGCUUUAAAGCCACACUUGUAAUUAUGAAAUUAAACUUCAUUAUAUGCGUAAAAAAAGCCACACUUUGUGUUGCACUUUCUUGGAUUCUCGUAUCGAAUUAUUUGGAAAAGAGGCUAGAAUCAUGAUUUUAGCGACAUGUUUUUUUUUAUGAACCGUUCAGUUUUACUGAAAAUUUUAGUGUAACUUUUAUUGCUGCAUGGUAAUUUUAAACACAUACAUAGUUAACUUUUUCAUAAAGAAAUAUUUGGUUUGUAAUAUUUUAGUAAUAUCGUAUUAAAUAUGUUAAGCGAGGAAAAUAUCGAUUUUCAGUUGUUAAAAAUUAGAAGAUACAACUUUGCUUGCAUUUAAGGCGCUCCCUUUUCUUAUGAUAGCACCUCCACAGAAGGGCAAGAAAAGUCCAAGAAUGGAUUUUGAUGCAAUUUUGGCUUUAUUUUAUAGAGAAAUGGAUGUACACCUCAGUCUUGAAAGAAAAAAGCUCC